rnacentral:lncRNA from 1 species
GGUGAAAUUUUGCACCAACAUGAUUGGUGCUAGAGGAAGGUUUGUGUCUUUGCAGUACCCUUAUUCUUAAAGGAGUGCUCAACGGGACCAUCUCCGGUCAUCCUCUCUGAUAUUUUCUUCUCCGAUCUCCUGCCAGAUCUCCACCUGAUGCCUCCCCGAAGGGCAUCCACCAGGCGAUCCACGGCCUCUGUGGCUAGAUCUCAGCGAGCUCCACAAGCUCUGGCCUCGUCUCUGAUUUCUCAG